UACGUAGGGUGCAAGCGUUGUCCGGAAUUAUUGGGCGUAAAGAGCUCGUAGGCGGUUCGUCGCGUCGGCUGUGAAAACCUGAGGCUCAACCUCAGGCCUGCAGUCGAUACGGGCGGACUUGAGUACUGCAGGGGAGACUGGAAUUCCUGGUGUAGCGGUGAAAUGCGCAGAUAUCGGGAGGAACACCAGUGGCGAAGGCGGCGCUCUGGGCCGGAACUGACGCUGAGGAGCGAAAGCGUGGGUAGCAAACAGG
rnacentral:rRNA from 1 species